GGAUGUGAAGGACUCAACUUAGUGUGCCAAGAAGACGAGCAAGGCAUCCAAUGGCAAUUUCUUACAAAACUUCGUGUUCUUAAAAUCACCAAUUUUUUUGAUUUGGAAGCAUUGCCUGAAUGGAUUCGACAUGCCACGAAUUUGCAAUCUCUUGAGAUUUUUGAUUGUCCGAAUCUAAGGAGUUUGCUGGAAUGGAUUAAAAAUUUAUCAUUGCUGGAAGAGCCUGUAAUAUAUGGUUGUCCAAGAUUAACAGAUGAGCACAGUAGAGGAGAUGAAUUGGAACGAUUAGCACAGUAGAGCGCAUAUAUUUAUCAAAAAGAAGGAUAGCGUCCCUCCACUCCGCUCCAGCUCGCCACCAUCUUCCUCGUUAUGUCGCGCGUGUAGAACAAACACCACCCUUUGCCUCCUCGUCUUGCUCGUACAACCUCCUCACUCCCCCUCCCCUCCUUCACCUCCUUCAUCUCCUCCAUCACCGCCGCCGGAGGAACCCCGCAUCCUCUCGAUCGCCUCCUUCCUCUUUGGCCGUGUCCGCCGAGGUCGAUGAUCGGGAAGCUAAGAUUCUCGGAUCCGCCGCUCGAUUCGGAUGUCUGGUGCGGUCGGAUGAAGAAAUCCUGGGGAUUUCGGUGAUCCCGGCGUUGACGAGGCCUUGACGCCGGGUUUCGAGUCGUCGCUCGCUCUGUUGUAGCUCUCUGCUCGCCGGAGUCGGAGGCCAAAUCGAUGGUAGGCACUGUUCCUCUCUCUCUCUCUCUCUCUCUCUCUCUACUGCAAUUCAAUUUUCACUGUGAAUGUGUAAUAAGUUUGGAUUAUGAAUCGAAUGUUGUGGAGACAUUUGGAUUAUGAAUUGAGUGUUAUGUAGACAUUACAAUGUCAAUGCAUGAUAUGAGCAUCUUCUUUAUAGUUGAUUGAUU